rnacentral:rRNA from 1 species
CCUACGGGGGGCAGCAGUGAGGAAUAUUGGUCAAUGGACGAGAGUCUGAACCAGCCAAGUAGCGUGAAGGAUGACUGCCCUAUGGGUUGUAAACUUCUUUUAUAUGGGAAUAAAAUGUUCCACGUGUGGGAUUUUGUAUGUACCAUAUGAAUAAGGAUCGGCUAACUCCGUGCCAGCAGCCGCGGUAAUACGGAGGAUCCGAGCGUUAUCCGGAUUUAUUGGGUUUAAAGGGAGCGUAGGUGGAUUGUUAAGUCAGUUGUGAAAGUUUGCGGCUCAACCGUAAAAUUGCAGUUGAAACUGGCAGUCUUGAGGACAGUAGAGGUGGGCGGAAUUCGUGGUGUAGCGGUGAAAUGCUUAGAUAGCACGAAGAACUCCGAUUGCGAAGGCAGUUCACUGGACUGCAACUGACACUGAGGCUCGAAAGUGUGGGUAUCAAACAGGAUUAGAUACCCUUGUAGUC